ensembl:misc_RNA Gm27853 predicted gene, 27853
GUCAGGUGUGGUGGUACAUUCCUUUAGUCCCUAGAAGCUGGGUCCAGGAGCUCUAGGCUGUUGUGUGCUAUGCUGAUUAGGUGUUUCCGCUGUUUGGCAUCAAUAUAGUGACUAUCCAGGAGCAGGGACCAACAGAUUGCCAAAGAGUUUGGAGUCGACCAAGGCUGAAAAUGGAGCAAGUCAAACCCCAGAGCUGAUCAGUAAUGGGGUCACCCAUGAAGAGCCACUGCAUGCAAGCCUGGGCCAGAGU